ensembl:lncRNA
GCUAAUUAGUAAAAAAAAUAAUCUGUGUUGCUUAGUGGAUCUUCCUAAAAGGAUUUGCAAAGGGUUUAAUGUAAAUAAUAAGUUCUUCUCUUCUAAAAGAAUGCCAAAGGAAGCAGUGUGGUAAGGCUACUAAAGUUUUUUGCAUUCCUGGGUGAGCUUGUGUCCUCCCACCCCCAGGUCUGCAAGAGGUUUUCUGAUCUUAACAAAAGCAAAAACAAACUCUUGCAUAUUGUUUUCCAGAGAGCAUAAAAUCAAAUUUUCCACCCCAAUUAACACUGUCUUUAUAAACCCAGUAGCAUCUCUGAUAAUUCAAGUAAACGGCAGGGUUGAGCUUUUUUUCCCCUUUAUUUGUUUAGAAAUGAAAUAUUGGGUUUUGGAAAUGUACACGAUGUGAUUAGAUUCUGCCAUGCUUAACACUGCUUAACAUUAUCACUGCUUAAGAAUGUAUUAAGAGUUCUUGAUCAUGCAGUCCAUGGCUCUAUAAGUCCAUCCAUAAUAUCAUUUUUUAAGCUCAGACAUUUAGAUCUGGAAGGAACAAUGAAGGUAAUGUAGUUCCUCAUUUUACAGAUGAGAAGCCUGGGUCCUUAAAGAAAUGAAGUAUCCCAUCCAAGAUUAUCAAGCUCUUAGGACUUCGCACAUUUCCAGAUCACCUAUGAGGAGGAACACAAAUGAGAGACAUCAGGGACCUGCUUCUGGGAGAAGAUAUUCUACACUCUCAGACCUAGUGGAUGGGACCAGCCUCUUUCCACUGACUGUGUAACCAGAACCAGAUGCAUCUUUAAAAGUAUCACACUGGGAAAGUCUUGUUCUCUCCUUCUGGCACCAUCUUGAUCUGGUAAAUGUCUUGUUCAUAUGCAGCAUGGACACCAUGCACUAAAUUUAUUGGGGGGAAAGCUACCCUCCACCUCUCCCUUUAAGCUUGCUGAUGACCCCAAGAAAUGAGCUUGGAAUUGUAAUCUUUCUGAUUUAUACUUUUUUUCAGCUCCAGGUGCAGAUAGUGGGCCUAAGACCUGGAAGCUCAAGCCAUGAAGACCAUUUCUUUAAGGAGCACUUUGUAAUUUAAUCCAUAUAAUAUUUUGUGUAUUUUUGUAGGUUGGUUGUCAAAUACUUCAUGCAUUUUGGAGUUAUUUUAGAAUGGAAUUUCCCUGUCUAUUAUUGCCUCUUGGAUUUUAUUACAAAGAAAUUCUAUUGAUAUUUGAGGGCAUGUUUUAUAUAGUCUCCAAUUGAGCAAAAGCUGUUAAUUGUCUCAAUUAUUUUUAUGUUGAUUUCCACAAUUUUCUAGGUAAACCAUCAUAGAUCUGGAAAAUAGGGCUAGUUUUAUCUCCUAUUUACCUCUCUUUAUGCCUUUAAUUUCUAUUGUCUUAUUAGAACUAUAUAGAAUAAUACUGAGGAGAGUGAGUGUCCUUAUUCUACUCCUAUACUAUUGGAGAAAUUUCUAUAGUAUGUAUCCCCAUUGUGAAUGAUGAUUACUUUUGGUCUUAGAGAGAUAUUUUUUAUAAUAGUAAAAAUGAUCUCUCUCCCUAUAAUUUAAAGGAAAUUUUAGCAUAAAAGCGAACAGUAUUUUAUACAGUUUCUUCCUCCCUCAACCACAUCUAUUGAAAUAAUAAUACAGCUUUGGAUGUUUUUGUUUUUCAUGUAAUUAUAUUAUUUUCCUAAUAAAUAAUAAUGCAUACCUCA